CCCCAACCCGGUCACAGAACCCCUGAAGCUGCUCCUGCCUCACGUCCACAAGGUGGAUUCCUGGGAAAUUCUAUGGCAGUCCUCCAGUAGGCAGAAACCCAUUUUACAGUCCAGUCAACUGAGACUCGAGAGAGAGAGAGAAACUAGUCCAUGGCCGGACACGGCAUCCAGACACAGGGGAGGACCAGGAGGCUCUCAUCGUCCGUUUCAAUGCCGAAGGCUACGAAGGGCCCCGUGGCGAUGUCC